UUUCCGUAGGUGAACCUGCGGAAGGAUCAUUAAACGUAUCCACGUAUAACCCACCGCGAACUCGUUUUCGAACCCUCGUGUAAGUUGGUGCACAUUUGAGAUAGCGUGAGUGCAUGGGUGAGAAGAAGAAAUUCUUCUUAGAGCUCUGCUAAUCGACGUCACGAUGUUACAUGAGGUUGUCUAACAAAAUCCCGUGAAUGUUUUAUAUACUAAUUUACCCUUUGUAUCCACUUGAUGAACAUUGUGAGAUAGCAACAUUCACUUGUUGUUUUCCCACGUAAUUAAAUGUAACUUAAGCACAACUCUUAACAACGGAUAUCUAGGCUCUC
rnacentral:misc_RNA from 1 species